rnacentral:lncRNA from 1 species
UUUGCAUGCCAAGUCUUUUGCUUGGUGUGCAAGGAAAGCCUCGUGGAAAGCUGGGAUAUAAAACAUAGAGGAUGGGAAGCUUCAGUGUCAAGAACUCGUAGCGACGCAGUGUAGAAAAUAUAAUUCCAGGCUCCAGGCUCCAGGCACCAAGUCCAUAGCAAUUCUGCAAAUUCUUCAUUGUCGAUUCUCCAUUUUGUGAUUGGAAACCCAUGGCUCAAGUUCAUGCUGCGGAGUUGAAGGGCAAUCAACAGGACCUCAGUCCUAAAAAGCGCAUGGGCUGUUUUGGAUGGAGGAGUAGCAGCAACAAGACCAGCAAGAUCAAGCCCAAGAAGAACGCCCAAGUCUCAGAUGGGAAGAUCAAGGAGAGAAAACAAAAGCAAGCAAUAAUUGUUCCACACUUUGCAACUUCAGCCAGAUUGUCAAUGCUGUGACAUGGAUUUGCACAGAUUCAAGACUUUUUCCUUUUCGUCUUGAAGAAGCGAACUUGUAAUAUAUUUUGUUUCGUGAAUUGAAAUCAUUCUAUCAAUUCAAAAAAAUUUCUUCAAUUGAUCACAAAAAUGCUUGUUGUGAAGAAGAAGAACUGAGAAUGUGGAAAACUUCAGGUUUUAGGGUUUCUACGGCCUAGGUAUGAACAAGGAGAUGCAAGUGCGAAGGCGCAUCGCGAGCAUGUAAGCAUCGCAAAUGUCUCCUCCACUUUUCUCAAUCGCUUGUGCGUGCCAGCUACAACAAGCGCGAGGACAAUUUCGCGUCCCUCAGAGACUACAAUGACUACCUGGAAGACGUAGAGGACAUCAGUGAGCUCUCGUUUCAUUCUCUCAGCUGCUCACUCACUUUGCCUUGUAGUCUUCAAUCUGGUCCAAGGCAUCGAUGUGGCUGAGACGGAGGCCAAGAUCAAGGCGUAUAAUGAGGAAAACUACGAGCAAAUCCUCGCAUCCAGAGCUCGCAAGGUAAGGCGUGUUUUCGAGGAGAAACAAAUCCUUACUCUCUCUCUCUCUCUCUCUCUCUCUCUCUCUCUCUCUCUCUCACAUACACACACAGGCUGUGGAGAUUAGCACUGCUCUCCAGCAAGAGCAAGGCUUCACUGAAACGAGAGAAGCCAUAGAACAGGUAAUCAGAAAUUCUUUUCCAUGAUAUUCCAGCGAGAAUUUGGAUCGAAAACAGGGACCGUCUGGAGCGUACGCGCCGGCAGUGGCGGGGAUGUUGAUGCAGCAGCCAACGAGGCAGCCCGAGCCGAUUGGACACAGCCUGCUCAACGGUGGCGCGGCCGAGGAUCCAGAGGCGCAGAGGAUUCGAGAGGAGCGAGCCGCCAUCGCCGGGGGCUGGUCCAUAGACUGCUGCCACAGGAGGGAUCUCACGGAAGCUUUCUCCAGCUUGUGGGUCAACUAGAGACAAGAGAAGAACUGCUGCUCAAUGGAUGAAGUAGCAGUGUUCUUGAGAGCCGGCUCUCGUUGGAUAGCCCCUGUUUCCAUUUUUUCUUCAACUUUUCUACAACUUUUCUACAACUUCUAGUAAUUCUGUGCUCACAAUACCACGUAGCCUUUCAUUAGCUUAAAAAGCUGACAAAGGUGGAACCUACAGAACAGAUCACAGAAAGUUCAAAUAGCAUACAACUUUCAAACUUACCACAGCUUUUUCUUUUGAACGUUUUUCUUUUAAACGUUCACUCUACCUUACUUCUCUGAAGGUAAACUGUCCCGCUCGCUCGUGGGCAUUCCUUUGUUGUCACAACCAGCCUUAUAUAACUAGUGGAAUACCAUUCUUUGAGUUUGUGAGAGCCUUCUAAAUUCACUUUCUUGUCCAGCUUCAUGAUGUCUAGCGUCACAAAUGCUUGAGUUGCUCCUAAGUCACUUCUCGUUGUGAAUUGUACAAACACAAGCAUCUUCUUGUUCAGCUUACCAUUCCACAAGAAAAACAUUGCCUUUGGUCCUGCUUCACAGAAUGUCCCUGUCCAAGCAUAUGUUGUAAAUGAAGCAUCAGUCUCCACUGACUUGAGCCACUUGUUCAAUUGUUUUGCAUUUUUAAUCUCCUUAACUAACACUACUGACAACCCUUUUCGUUUUAAAAAGUCAUAUGUUUUCUUGUACAUAGCAUGUGUUUCUACCAAUCCAAAUAGCUCUGCUAGUACCUUCUUGUCAAAUGUAAAUCCAAAAGUCAUGCAUGUAUAUGUCUCAAAGUUGAUUUUACAUACAAAUGAGUGUUUAAAUGUGUUUAUAAAGCAUCUCAUGAGCAUACUUUGUGGCAUGUUAUGCCAUAGUGCAUUUACCACCAAAGGCUCUCGCAAGAUUAUAUAGUGAAUUUCUACUGUAACUGACAAACUAGGAGUCUCUGUUUUAUUAUCAAUAACACCUCUAAUAUAUGGAGCUAUUGGUGCAAAAUGUUCUGCUCCAUCACUGCUCUCAAGGAGAGUUGCAAAACCAUGGUCUACAAGAGUCAUGCCCCUCCAUCCUGGUACAAUCACAUGGCACCUGAAAAAGUAAUAAGUAAAUAUCACAAUAUCACGUAAUUCUAUAAAGCUUGCGGUCUUACCUGAGAGAUAGUAAGUAACUAUCAGACCUUCUAUAAAACUUGCCAUCUCAGAUUGUUCCACAGCAAAACUGCAUCGUCUCUCAAAGAGCGAUGGACUCCAAGUUCCCGGCCUGUUUGAGUGAUCAUCCUUCGUGCAAACUCCAUGAACCAAUCUGCAGCAGGUGCAGUCUCCAUAAUAUACUUCUCAAUAGCGGUUGAUAAAAGUCUUCUCCUUCCUGUGUAGGUGGAGAUAACAGCUGGCAUGUCUAGUUGACUAACAUCUAUAAACCUUUCCAUAAACACUUGGAUGUUGCUACCAUCAAAACCCAGGUAGACUGUAAAUCUCUCCCACAUCAAACUCUUUCAUAGUUGUUAGAGGUAGAGAUGAUGUGGCAGUUGUUAUGCCCACGUGGCAGUAGCUUUAUGUAUAUGUACACAAUCAUAUACAGUUAUAUAUAUAUAUACAGUUCUUCCUCCUCGUGUGCGCGUCUCUCCGCUGCUAACAUGGUAUCGGAGCCCUGGGUUCCUUGAUCCUGAGAAUGGCGCUUGCUGGCCAGGAGGCCAGUGACGAGGAGGAGGAUGAGCCUCCCGAUUGCAAUCCCUCUUGCAAUGUUUGGGACGCUUGAGGCGUUGCACCAAGGCACCAGGCUGUGUAAAGGUGCUGAGCAACAAGCAGCAGCAAGCAGAGAACAAAGCCAGUGGGAGAUUGAGAGAUUUCAACAACCCACAUCAAGAAUUGGGUCAAGAUUCAAGAACAUUGCAUAGCAAUUCUUUGCAGGAAUUUCCAGCAAUUGGGAAGGAUGGAACGAGUGUCCGAGCAGAAGGGAACCUUGCCUUGUAACGUGACUCGUACUGUGCUACUGCCGGACGUUUGAGAGAGAUAUAAGCGUCACACGGAUGUGUAAUGUCUGCUUCUGUAAUAUCUGUUUCUGCUGUUUUUGUAAUGCCUGUUUCUGUAAACAAUAAAAUUGAAAAAAAAACAAGAAACCAGUUAAACGCCACAGCAUAUGGCCACCUAAAGACAAAUGCGCAGGGAGAGCAAGGGCAAUGAGAUCGUCCUCCUUCGAUCGCCAUAGGGGCUUUGGCGAAGAAUUUCGCAUAAAGGAAAAUUGGGGCAAGAAGUAGAAACCGAAGCCAUCCUAAAAGAAAGUAGCAUACCUCUCGUGGGACGAAUGACAUGAGAAGAUCCAGCCCGAAAUUUCACUUUGCUGAGACCAUCUUCUUUUCUUGGUUCAAGAGUUCUUCAUCGGACCCUCAUCACGGAGAUGGAGUUAGCCGAGAACACCCUCUGAACCGCAUCUACGCCCACUCUACCAUCACAAAGGUAAAAUUCAUGACUCUCUGCCCCAUCUAUGUCGUCAAUGAACUCCACAAGCUCUUCCAUUUCUGCCAUAGCUUGCAACGAGUUUAGGGUACAACUCAAGGGGGAAUGCUGGCCUCCAUGCCACGUGUCAUUGUCGAAUGUCCAUUUCACAUCCAUUCUUUAUAUGCCACGUAGGAAUGGCCCAUGCCAUGUCAGGAAUUAAGCCACUCACAUAGACCAUGUUGCGAACAAAAUUGAUCAUGGUAGGCUUCUUUGCAUUAUGUUCUCACCUCUUGCUCUUAUUGCACAUGACAAAAGAUGAAAAAAACUAUCACUAUGCAAGUUAGUGGUAACUUCCUUAAUGAGAGUCUAUUUGAAUUGGCUUAAGCUUAUCAACUAAGCUAGCAAAUGUCGUAAUUAAAAGCUCAAAGAGUCUAUUGAAUGGGGAACUUAGAUUGUAUCCUAGCAUUAUUGUAAAUUUGGGCAACUUUGGGCAUUCGAGAAUAAAACCCCAUUCAUCCAUGUCCAUCAUAAAAUCUUCCAUUUGUGGAAAAAUGAGUUAUAUUGAAGAACUUGUUGGUAUAAGCAUUUUUAUUAGAGAGUUCUUUAUAAGAGCGGCUUGAUAGAGUUCAAUAUAGUAGAGAAAAAGUUUCUUAGCAAGGGGUUUAAUCCUAUUGAAUUGUUACUCUUGAAAGGAACUUGGUGACACUCCAAGUUGUAGAACGUUGGGAGGACACCACAAUAGAUGUGGGGCAAGCCACAUGCAAAAGCCAUUAGAGAGGUUGAUUGCAAAAUGUUUAAACAGUCCUCCUCUGUUAAAUUGUCAAUCAUUCUCAUUUAGAACUUUUUGCAAUUGCUAAUAUUGCAAUUAUACACCCACAAGAGAUUUGUGCAUUAUAUUUGAACACUUGGAAUAGCAACUAACCCACAAAGUCAACUUAUGCAUACAGAAAUAAAGACCAUACCAAAGUUGUGUUUUAAACUUCACUUUCCUUGUCUUUUUGUCACAAUGUCCUAAAAUGCAUUGGCAUCUAGGGAUGCCUUGCUGAUUGUAUAAGAUGGACCUCAAGGCAUGAGUUACAUAUUUAGAAUGCACUCAAUUAACUGUGAGGUGCAUUAGGUAUAAAGGAGGAGGGUGAUUGGUGUAAAUCCAUGGAUUCCAUCUUGGAGAAUCCCAGCAAUUAUGACUAUAAUGUAAUGUUUGAGUCUAGACUCACCAAACUUGGUGAAAGCUAUAAAUAAGCUAUGGAAGCAUCCAUGGCUGCAAUAGUGUGGCAUUACCUAUUCAUAAAGCUAAAGGCAAUGGAAAACCUAUUGUAAGAAGGCUUGCAAUACUCACUAUGCAUAGAAGCUCUAUAGAGCCAUUACAAGAGUUUAACAUUAUUAAGUGGGCUUUCACUCAUUGGCAUAAAUGCUUUACUAUAGAUCUUUCUAGUAAAGAUGAUCAUUCCUCUUGUGCAACUCAUCAACUACCUAAUCUUUGAUUUGAACUUUGGAGAAAACUUCCACACCUAAGUUGUGGACAUCAUCCAAAGUAACUCUACAUCUACUCUUACUAAAGUGAGGAUGAGCUUUCAAUCCCUGAAAACUCUAGUUCUUUGCCCUUAGCACAUGGUAUAUAUUGGAUAGUUUAGCCCAUGUUUGAAAAUCCUUCUCACUCAAUUCAAAUAUUAAAAUGGUUAUGUUUGGAAAAAUGAUUGAAGUGUCCCUACUGUUGAUCUUCUUGGCCAAACGUUAUUGCACAAAAUUGCAAUCUCCUUAAGCAUGCUAUUCUUGAGAAGUAGUCAAGCCCAACUCAUAUAUGCCUUCAACAAUUAGUGCACACCAGCCUAAAGUUAAGGAAUCAGCCUCAAUGUUGUAGCUUGGGUCUUACCAUUCCCCUCAGUGUUGCCUAUGUCACACAUGAAUGAGCUCUUCACCAACACCAUGCAAACUUGCAUCCAAAUACAAGCUCCACCAUGUCAUGGAAUUGGUAAAGGUGUUUGUUGAAACUAAGACUAUAAUCAGGAAGAUGAGCAUGAAGUGAGGGGUUAGACACGGGACCAUACAAAGUGUUCAUAAACCCUAUAUAAAAGUUGCUAUGGUUUGCUCUUUUGCCAAAGGAAAGUGCCUUUCAUUGCAACAUGAGCAAUCAGUAGAAUAAUGAUUCCUUUAUCUUUAGCCUAGUUUGUGCCUCUAAGGUGUUAAAAGACCUAGAUUGCAAAUCAAUGGCAAGGAAGGAUAAACUCAAUUGGCUGCAUUGGGGGCACGACUCCAGAUGCUAUACAUCCACAGCUUCGCAAAGGCAUUUGUUGUCAAGAACACCAUGUUAAAGAAGAUAGUGUGCAAGAGAAUGAAAAUUUGGGGUGAGAACAUUGUGCUCUAGAGAAGCUACAUUUGGUUUGCAACAUGUUGAAUGCAUGGGAUGUCUAUGGGCCCGGCACUUUCCCCAUACCCUAGCCUUGAGUGGUGCCCUAAACUCGGAGCUAUGGAUGGAAGAGCUUGUGGAGUCUCCGUUAUUCUUCCUCUCAGCUGUGAGCAUCGCGGUGGAUGCUUGGAGACUGGCCUUAACCGGGCGAGUUUAGUAGGGUGGUGCACGAGGAUUUGAGCAAUUACGAUCCAGAAGGUAGAGAAAACUUCGCCAUUCGCAUGCUCUGAUCUAAUUAACGUAGCUGCCGCUCCAGGCGCUUGGCCUGUUCUUGUCGUCGAGUUUGUGGAUCACAUGUACAGGUAACACACUGUAGUUCUCUUGCUGGAAAAGAAUGGCCGUCCUCACAAAAUCCUCCUGCUUUCAGAAGCUCGUCAUGCUCUUGCAUUGCGGAAGCCUGCGUUUGCGAUCCGAGUGCAGUGCUGAGCUCUUCGGAAGUUUUGGAUGCUACCUCUCAAUUGAACCGAGCGAAUACACUACCAGGCAAGAAAACUCGCUACCAAUAUGAUGCCUAAAGAUCUAUCUCUCUUCACAGGUAUGGCUGCUACCGCCGGUAGUAAGAGGCGGAGGAAAGACGAACGACGAGGUGUUUUUGUCGCGGCAUUUGAAGCGUCUACUGCUGGAGAAACUUCUGCUCAUGUCCUCCGGUGGAUUUUGACAGAUGAAAGCUUUGUAGUAGAGAAAUUCUUUUCAAUGUAUAGUGGUGCCCAAGCGAGCGAUGAUUCUUUUUCCGCAUAGUAUUCUUGUGACCGAGAAACACGUGACAAUAAUGAUCUAGACUCUAUUCAAGUCAAAGUCUGGAGUCCUAACAACUCUCUAUAUUUCUUGGCUAGCAAGUUAGGACGAAGUAUAUAAUGUGUGCCCUGAGAAUUUCUUUCAUUUGUUUUGGAAUGGCAGCAGGUGGAAACAGCAUCAAGAUGGACGAGCAACAAAAGGUUGCAAAGGUCGAUUGUUUUGGAUGGAUGAGACAAUGGAAAUUCAAAGUAGCAAACAAGGUGGAGAAUUCGCAAGAUUGGAGCAAGACUAUGGAAAGCAGCAGUGAGUCAAAGAAAAAGAAAAAGGAUGCAAUUGUCGUUCCUCACUUCUCUUCCUCGCCAAGACUUCCACUCCUGUAAUAGUAGAGAAAAGCUUCCAGAUUGUUUGUUCUCCCUCCAAAUAUCUUCUCUGUUUUAAGAUCUGGUACUCAGGAUAAGUUGGUCAAGCUAGGAUGAAUGAGCAGCAUCGUAUCCAUUUCCAGGACACUUCGUUUGCAUGCCGAGUCAUUUCUUGGUUUGCACGGAAAGUUUUUUGGACAAGGAUUGAAAUCAGGAAUUCGCAGCAACAGAGCGUAGAAAAUCUAAUUCAGCCUUCACGCACGAAGACUAUAUCCUUUGUUCUCUCAAAUUUGUGACUGGCUCAAUGGAGUUAGUGCUUUGGAUGGAGGAGUAGUCAACCCACAAUCUGAGUCCUGUUGAUUGCCCUCACAAUAUCCAGAAGCUCGUCGUUCUCUUGCAUCGCGGAAGCCUUCCGAGUGCCGUGAUGAGCUCUUCGGAAGUUUUGGAUGCUACCUACCGAGAGGCAGAGGAAAGACACGAACGACGAGGUGUCUUUGUCGCGGCAUUUGAAGCGUCUACUACUAGAGAAACCUCUGCUCAUGGGUUUUGAUAACAAGACAAUAAUAUGAAGCGAAUUUUUUUUCCACUGUUGUAAUCUAGACUCUAUUCAAAUACAAAACGAUCAUUGAUUUUGGAAUGGCAGCAGGAGUUCAAGGUGGAAACACGGACGAGCAACAAGAGGUUGCAACGAGACAAUGGAAAUUGAAAUAAGUAGCAAGCAAUGUGAGCAAGACUAUGAAAAGUAGCAGUGAGAUGCAAUUGUCACUUCUCUAGACUUCCACUCCUGUAAUAGGCUUCUAAAUUUUUUAUUUUUUGUAAUGAAAAUAAAUCUGUCAUCUUGAACAUUUGAAUCUGUUCUAAAUUUUGGUAGUCCAUUUCGUGUGAGGGAUGUGAUCCUCCCAAAAGCAUGGAAAUUUAAGAUAUCUCGAUUGAAUACUGGACGUUAAUCUUUUCAAUCACAUUAAAAUUCCAAUUAAAACUGUACGUGAUAAUUUUGCCCUUUGAAACUUUCAAGAUAUGUCAUAACGUCACAUCCCAACACAUUCCAGGAUACUUCAUUUGCAUGCCGAGUCUUUUGCUUGGUGUGCAAGGAAAGUCCCGUGGAAAGCUGGGAUAUAAAACACAGAGGAUAGGAAGCUUCACCGUCAAGAAUAUAAAACAUAGAGGAUGGGAAGCUUCAGUGUCAAGAACUCGUAGCGACACAGUGUAGAAAAUAUAAUUCCAGGCUCCAGGCUCCAGGCACCAAAGCAAUUCUGCAAAUUCUUCAUUGUCGAUUCUCCAUAUUGUGAUUGGAAACCCAUGGCUCAAGUUCAUGCUGCGGAGUUGAAGGGCAAUCAACAGGACCUCAGUCCUAACAAGCGCAUGGGUUGUUUUGGAUGGAGGAGUAGCAGCAACAAGACCAGCAAGAUCAAGCCCAAGAAGAACGCCCAAGUCUCAGAUGGGAAGAUCAAGGAGAGAAAACAAGAACAAGCAAUAAUUGUUCCAUACUUCGCGGCUUCAGCCAGAUUGUCAAUGCUGUGACAUGGAUUUGCACAGAUUCAAGAUUUUUUCCUUUUCGUCUUGAAGAAGCGAACUUGUAAUAUAUUUUGUUGUUUCAUGAAUUGAAAUCAGUCAAAAAAAUCUCUUCAAUUCAUUCUCAAUGAUCACAAAAAUGCUUGUUAUCACUUCGCAGAAGAACUGAGAAUGUGGAAAACUUCAGGUUUGAGGACAUCAGUGACAUUCUCUCAGCCGCUCACUCACUUUGCCUGGUAGUCUUCAAUCUGAGGCGAAGAUCAAGGCGUAUAAUGAGGAAAACUACAAGCAAAUCCUCGCAUCCAGAGCUUGCAAGGUAAGGCGUGUUUUCGAGGAGAAACAAAUCCUUACUCUCUCUCUCUCUGUCUCACAUACACACACAGGCUGUGGAGAUUAGCAUCCAGCAAGAGCAAGGCUUCACUGAAACGAGAAAUUCUUUUCAAUGGUAUUCCAGCGAGAAUUUGGAUAAAAAACAGGGACCUUCUGGAGCGUACGCGCCGGCAGUGGCGGGUAUGUUGAUGCAGCAGCCAACGAGGCAGCCCGAGAUUGGCUCAACGGUGGAUCCAGAGACGCAGAGGAUUCGAGAGUUGCGAGCCGCCAUCGCCGGCAGGAACUAGGGACAAGCGCAUGGAUGAAGCUGAUGGUUCUAGCUUAAAAGAGUGCUAGC